rnacentral:lncRNA from 1 species
CGCCGGCCACCAUCUCCCAGGGUGAAGCUAUAAACAGACACAGACUUGACUCGCUUCCUAGCUCCAGGACCUCAGUCAAGCGAUGCGAUCUCUUUGAAGUCCCAUCUACAAAAUGUGAGCAUCAGGAGUGCUUUGAUGACUCUAUGAGCUGGCAGUGGUGACAGUACCCAGCGUGGGCACCACAUGCACUGGGCCUCUGCUCCGCCCCGGCGCUUUUGAAAGUAAACUACCUGCCUGUUGCGCUCCGCGAUGCGCAACUGGCCGCGCCCCCCAGGCCUCCCGGGCUGCGGUUUUGUAAGCGAAGUGAGAAACACGAGCCAGCUCCGUUCCUGUGCUGGAAAACCGGCCAGUUGACCCCGGGUCCUGGCGGGGACCCCCAUCGCGUUCUGCCCUGCAAGGCGCGUCCAGCCACUGGUUGCCUCCGACACGCCGUCAUUCCCUGGCCACCACCCGGCACGCGCACUCAGGGGCGCACUCCGAAGGCCAGACAAGGCAAAGAAGUCCGAGGCCACGUCCUUCUAAGUACACCCAGAUGUUCACGGUGGCAGGACGAUGUUCCACACUCCUAGCCUCCAGACUCCAAUGACCCCACCAUCUGCAUGUACCUGAACUGCAGCCUCUAAAUGACUCCGGAGAGCAGAUCUAGAGUCCAGCAUCCCGUUUCCUCGGGUAAAUCCAGCUGUCUGCCCGGCAUGCUUAGCUGCUAAGGUGGGAAAGCCAAAGAAGUCUGGAAACGGAGUCCCAUUCACCUUACCACUUAGAACCUUCACACGUAAAGCAGAGCAAGACAUCCCAGUUCAAGUGUGAGGUUCUCCAGGAGUCCUGUGUAAUACUAAGACCCACAAUGAAUUUUCAUGGAAUGGCAUUCCAGCUUGCUCUGGGUGAUUUAAGUAACCUUAUAAUGUGAUGCUUCUGAGAGGGGUCAGGGGAGAAGGAUAACCCAGAAUAUUAUAAAUGAUGAGUUCACGUCAAAG